rnacentral:rRNA from 1 species
AUUGAACGCUGGCGGCAUGCUUUACACAUGCAAGUCGAACGGCAGCGCGGGCUUCGGCCUGGCGGCGAGUGGCGAACGGGUGAGUAAUGCAUCGGAACGUGCCCAGUAGUGGGGGAUAGCCCGGCGAAAGCCGGAUUAAUACCGCAUACGACCGGAGGGUGAAAGCGGGGGACCGAAAGGCCUCGCGCGAUGGGAGCGGCGGAUGUCGGAUUAGCUAGUUGGUGGGGUAAAGGCUUACCAAGGCGACGAUCCGUAGCUGGUCUGAGAGGACGACCAGCCACACUGGAACUGAGACACGGCCCAGACUCCUACGGGAGGCAGCAGUGGGGAAUUUUGGACAAUGGGGGCAACCCUGAUCCAGCCAUGCCGCGUGCGGGAAGAAGGCCUUCGGGUUGUAAACCGCUUUUGUUCGGGAAGAAAUCCUCUGGGCUAAUACCCCGGGGGGAUGACGGUACCGGAAGAAUAAGCACCGGCUAACUACGUG